AUGUGACUCUGUGAAUGGUUACCUUGGAAACCCUCUCCCAGGAACCUGCUAUUGCCCAUCCAGGUCGCGAUCGACUUCAGCCCAGGCACUGAUAGCUGAGCCAAAGACGCCGCUUCAUCUUCACGCAUCAUGGCUCCACGUGGCGAUCGAUGGCAGAUUGAUUGGGCUGCUCCUUGUUAGAAAGUUGUGGAGACGGGCAAACGUGCUUAGUCGUCCUUACAUCCUGGCACGCAAUCACGCAAGGAGGAAGCAGCUGGACAGAAAAGCGUUUAUGAGGGGCAGCAAGAAAGAAAGGGAAGACAAAAUGAACCCGUCUGACACCUGUGUCCCAAGACACUGACCCUGUUGUAACAAACAACAGAAAAGAUAAUCACUCAUACAUACCAAAUAUCCAGUGGUAAAUCCAAGAAAACAAACGGCUCGCUAAUAAAAUAUCAAUUAUUUGCCCAUUUGGUGACUUUUGAAGCGUCGUCUCCCAGCGUGAAUAAUCACAAUGGCCACUAUUGAAUGAAAGGCGCGCACUGAAACACACCGCCGGUUCCAUUAUGAGCUUCAAAGCAGCUGUUUGACAAAAGGACACACUUCAGCGCGCGCGUCGGAUUUACAUUACAAAAACAGCAGGAGUAUCGGACGCAAUUAUUGUCUCUGGAUGGAUGCCGCUCGUACGUUUGUGUGAGCGAAGGGCUACGAGCGGGAGAGUCGAUAACAAAUCUCAUUUCCGCUAUGUUUGUCAGCCUUCCAGACGGGCAUUUGUCUCCAGUCGGAUCGGUGUAAACACAGAAAAAGAUUUCCUGGGACGAUAAGCACACGUCUCCGCGGACGGCACUCUUGAGAUGUGCGUCAAGUGGUGGAGGCGCCGACAGGGGCUACUUUUGCCUGGAAGGCCUUUUCAAGUCGGGGGAAAAAAGGAUAUACCGUCAUUUUCAGACAAAAAGCCGCUAUUUUGUUCCCUCAUUUUGAAUCCUGCGGUUUAUAAUCCGGUGCGGCUUAUUUGUUUAUUUAUUUGGGUUAAUAAGUAAAGCUUUAUUUGACAGUGGCGUCAUAAGACUGUCAUAAGACUGUUAUAAUUAUGACAUGACACUAUCAUGGGCAUUACUGAAUGCUUUCUACAGAUGUCAUUAUGUAUCAUCCGGCAAAUUACAGUGGUAUGAAAAAGUAUUUGAACAUUUUGGAAUUUCUCACAUUCCCGCAUAAAAUCACACAAUCAAAUGUGAUCUAAUCAAAAUCACACAGAUGAAAAAAGGACAUACCGUAAUUUUCAGAGAAAAAGCCGCUACUUUGUUUCCUCAUUUUGAAUUCUGGGGUUUAUAAUCCAGUGCGGCUUAUUUGUUUAUUUAUUUGGGUUAAUAGGUAACGCUUUAUUUGACAGUGGCGUCAUAAGACUGUCAUAAGACCGUCAUAAUUAUGACAUGACACUAUCAUGGGCAUGACUAAAUGCUUUCUACAGAUGUCAUUAAGUAUCAUCUGGCAAAUUACAGUGGUAUGAAAAAGUAUCUGAACCUUUUGGAAUUUCUCACAUUUCUGCAUAAAAUCACAAUCAAACGUGAUCUGAUCAAAAUCACAAAGAUGAAAAAAUGACAUACCGUAAUUUUCAGAGAAAAAGCCGCUACUUUGUUUCCUCAUUUUGAAUCCUGCGGUUUAUAAUCCAGUGCGGUUUAUUUGUUUAUUUAUUUGGGUUAAUAGGUAACGCUUUAUUUGACAGUGGCGUCAUAAGACUGUCAUAAUUAUGACAUGACACUAUCAUGGGCAUUACUGAAUGCUUUUGACAGAUGUCAUUAACCCUUUAAG